rnacentral:rRNA from 1 species
UACGUGGGGGGCAAGCGUUGUUCGGAAUUACUGGGCGUAAAGGGCUCGUAGGUGGCCAACUAAGUCAGACGUGAAAUCUCUCGGCUUAACCGGGGAACUGCGUCUGAUACUGGUUGGCUGGAGUUUGGGAGAGGGAUGCGGAAUUCCAGGUGUAGCGGUGGAAUGCGUAGAGAUCGGGAGGAACAUCUGUGGCGAAGGCGGCAUCCUGGACCGGUAUUGACGCUGAGGCGCGAAAGCUAGGGGAGCAAACGGG